rnacentral:rRNA from 1 species
GGUCCUACGGGACGCAGCAGUCGAGAAUCAUUCACAAUGGGGGAAACCCUGAUGGUGCGACGCCGCGUGGGGGAAUGAAGGUCUUAGGAUUGUAAACCCCUGUCAUGUGGGAGCAAAUUAAAAAGAUAGUACCACAAGAGGAAGAGACGGCUAACUCUGUGCCAGCAGCCGCGGUAAUACAGAGGUCUCAAGAGUUGUUCGGAAUCACUGGGCGUAAGGCGUGCGUAGGCUGUUUCGUAAGUCGUGUGUGAAAGUCGCGGGCUCAACCCGCGGACGGCACAUGAUACUGCGAGACUAGAGAAAUG